CUUAGAACAACAGCACACAUCUGCUUCCACUGUUCUCUUCAGAACAACAGAAAACAUCUGACUUCAGAACAUCUGUAUUGGUCUCCUCUGACUUCCACUGUUCUCUUCAGAACAACAGAAAACAUCUUGACUUCCACUGUUCUCUUCAGAACAACAGCACCAUCUGACAUCCACUGUUCUCUUCAGAAACACAGCACACAUCUGACUUCACUGUUCUCUUCAGAACAACAGAAAACAUCUGACUUCAGAACAUCUGUAUUGGUCUCCUCUGACUUCCACUGUUCUCUUCAGAACAACAGCACACAUCUGACUUCCACUGUUCUCUUCAGAACAUCUGUAUUGGUCUCCUCCAACUUCCACUGUUCUCUUCAGAACAACAGAACACAUCUGACAUCCCCUGUUCUCUUCAGAACAACCGAACAAUCUGACUUCCACUGUUCUCUUAGAACAACAGAACACAUCUGACUUCCACUGUUUCUUCAGAACACAGAACACUUCUGACUUCCACUGUUCUCUCAGAACAACAGAACAACUCUGACUUCCACUGUUCUCUUCAGAACAACAGAACACAUCUGACUUCCACUGUUUUCUUCAGAACAACAGAACACAUCUGACUUCCACUGUUCUCUCAGAACAACAGACACAUCUGACUUCCACUGUUCUCUUCAGAACACAGAACACAUCUGACUUCCACUGUUCUCUUCAGAAAACCUAACACAUCAGCUGUUCUCUUCAGAACAACAGAACAACACAUCUGACUUCCACUGUUCUCUUCAGAACAACAGAAACAUCUGACUUCCACUGUUCUCUUCAGAACAACCAUCACACUCAGCUGUUCUCUUCAGAACAACAGAACACAUCUGUAUUGGUCUCCUCUGACUUCCACCGUUCUUUUCCCCUCUUCUUUUGAAUGGUUGAAGGAUGGAGGAUAGAUAGAAGCUUGUCCAGUUUGGUCCAACUAUUCACCUACACAGGGAUAUUAGAAUCCUGUAAUGACGCUGGGAGCUGGCGUCUGCUGUUACCCUUCUAGACCAGCCUGCAAUGCACCCCUCUAUGGAUACAUUUGGUUUUGGCUGAUUGGUUCCCCUUUGUGUGUCUACCAUUGCCUAUCAUAAGUGCCACUCCUCUCCGCUGUGCAUGUAUAAGCAUCAUGGAAGGUCAGAGUUCACUGCUGAUUUUUGAAGAGCGGACGGGCAUCGAGAGUCCAGGUUGCUACGACUAAAGCAGCUCUCUCUUCUCCUUCGGAACAUUAAAAUUAUUCUACCCCUGCAACCGUCCCAGUAAAGAUUGAGAGAGUCCACUAUCUUUACAGAUCAGCCUAUGAAACGUGUAACACCCACAUCAUACCCACAAGUAAGCUAUAUACAUAUACAUAUAUAGAUAUAUAUAUAUAUAUAUAAAACAUGUUUAUUUUUUUGCUCUGUCACUCUUAUAUAAUAAAUUGACAUAUAUAGUCCAACCAUAAAGAUUACUGAGUGUCGAAAAAAUAUUAUUCUGUACUUUGGCUAAGAUUUAUAAAUCAUGAGACUGAACUACAUCAAAAUAAAUGGUGUGAAGUGUAUGUAUCUUAAAGCUUUGCUUUAAAACAAUUCACUGCAUUACUUUGUUUAUGUUAUGAGUCUUUGUAUAAAGCAUCCUUUGGUAUGGGGGAGAAAGAGCGUCUAGCAAAGUUCUUUGUUGCAGAAUUGUGCCAACAUUUUAAAAAAACAUGUCAAAAUAAACCUGCCUAAAAUGGAAUGGCCAGAGUGAAGCACUUACACUUCAUAUGAAAUAUCAAUGCACCUAUGUGUAGCUGUGUGUUCACCGCAUGUUUGGAGGCCAGAUAUUCUUUCCGUGACUACUUCCUCUAUCUAACAUCGCAGGUUUAGUGAAGCACCACCGAAUUAAAAUCUUAAGCAAUUAGUCAUGUUGUUAUGUAGGGCCUACUGCCCUCAUGUGGUGAACCAACGUUUGACCACCCAUUGUGUUUUUACUCCGGCGUUUUAACUGUGAUUUCAAUAAUGACCUUCAAUGGACCAGCGAAACUCAAAUGGCU
rnacentral:lncRNA from 1 species